AGACCCGAAACCCGGUGAUCUAGCCAUGGGCAGGUUGAAGGUUGGGUAACACUAACUGGAGGACCGAACCGACUAAUGUUGAAAAAUUAGCGGAUGACCUGUGGCUGGGGGUGAAAGGCCAAUCAAACCGGGAGAUAGCUGGUUCUCCCCGAAAGCUAUUUAGGUAGCGCCUCGUGAAUUCAUCUCCGGGGGUAGAGCACUGUUUCGGCUAGGGGGCCAUCCCGGCUUACCAACCCGAUGCAAACUGCGAAUACCGGAGAAUGUUAUCACGGGAGACACACGGCGGGUGCUAACGUCCGUCGUGAAGAGGGAAACAACCCAGACCGCCAGCUAAGGUCCCAAAGUCAUGGUUAAGUGGGAAACGAUGUGGGAAGGCCCAGACAGCCAGGAUGUUGGCUUAGAAGCAGCCAUCAUUUAAAGAAAGCGUAAUAGCUCACUGGUCGAGUCGGCCUGCGCGGAAGAUGUAACGGGGCUAAACCAUGCACCGAAGCUGCGGCAGCGAACGUAUCACCCAAGACAACUUUGCGGAGUUGACGAUUGACGGAGCGAAGCGACGUCAAAGCGUUCAUUAAAGUCGAGUUGGCUUAGGGAUACGUUCGUUGGGUAGGGGAGCGUUCUGUAAGCCUGUGAAGGUGUGUCGUGAGGCAUGCUGGAGGUAUCAGAAGUGCGAAUGCUGACAUAAGUAACGAUAAAGCGGGUGAAAAGCCCGCUCGCCGGAAGACCAAGGGUUCCUGUCCAACGUUAAUCGGGGCAGGGUGAGUCGACCCCUAAGGCGAGGCCGAAAGGCGUAGUCGAUGGGAAACGGGUUAAUAUUCCCGUACUUGGUGUUACUGCGAAGGGGGGACGGAGAAGGCUAUGUUGGCCGGGCGACGGUUGUCCCGGUUUAAGCGUGUAGGUGUGUGUUCCAGGUAAAUCCGGUU
rnacentral:rRNA from 1 species